rnacentral:rRNA from 1 species
GACAGAGGGUGCAAACGUUGUUCGGAAUUACUGGCGUAAAGCGCGUGUAGGCGGCCCUGCAAGUCGGAUGUGAAAUCCCACGGCUCAACCGUGGAAGUGCAUUCGAAACUGCAGGGCUAGAGUCCUGGAGAGGAAGGUGGAAUGCUUGGUGUAGAGGUGAAAUUCGUAGAUAUCAAGCGGAACACCGGUGGCGAAAGGCGGCC